rfam:Homo sapiens chromosome 2, GRCh38 reference primary assembly.
GUCUGUCCCAGCUACUCUCCAACUACACCCACAUUUCAGCGGGAAGAGGUCUUGGGGCCGAAACGAUCUCAGUCUAUUCUGUAACUUUAAAUGGGUAAGAAGCCUGGCUGGCUGACGUGGAGCCAGGCGUGGAAUGCGAGUGCUUCGUAGGCUACUUUUGGUAAGCAGAACUGGCACUGUGGGAUGAACCAAAUGCCGGGUUAAGAUGCCCGAUGCCAAUGCUCAUCAGACCUCAGAAAAGGUGUUGGUUGAUAUAGACAGCAGGAUGGUGGCCAUGGAAGUUGGAAUCCGCUAAGGAGUGUAACAACUCAGCUGCCAAAUCAACUACUCCUGAGAAUGGAUGGAGCUGGAGCGUUGGGCCCAUACCCGGCCGUUGACAGCAGUUGAGAGUGGAUGGGAGCGGCAGGGGCAGUACACCCGUGUGAGUGCAGUGGGGGUCCUCCCGUCCCCUCCUCCCCCCCCUCCCCUGCAGCCCCACGGAGUCUACGCCGGGAGGAGUA